UCCUUUAGAGAUAGAGGAGUGCUCGAAAGAGAGCCGUAACACAGGUGCUGCAUGGCUGUCGUCAGCUCGUGUCGUGAGAUGUUGGGUUAAGUCCCGCAACGAGCGCAACCCUUGUCAUUAGUUGCUACAUUCAGUUGGGCACUCUAAUGAGACUGCCGGUGACAAACCGGAGGAAGGUGGGGAUGACGUCAAGUCCUCAUGGCCCUUAUAGGUGGGCUACACACGUCAUACAAUGGAUGGUACAAAGGGUCGCCAACCCGCGAGGGGGAGCCAAUCCCAUAAAGCCAUUCGUAGUCCGGAUCGCAGUCUGCAACUCGACUGCGUGAAGUCGGAAUCGCUAGUAAUCGUGGAUCAGAAUGUCACGGUGAAUACGUUCCCGGGUCUU
rnacentral:rRNA from 1 species